rnacentral:rRNA from 1 species
GAGUUUGAUCGUGGCUCAGGAUGAACGCUGGCGGCGUGCUUAACACACGCAAGUCGAACGAAGCGCCUUAUUUGAUUUUCUUCGGAACUGAAGAUUUGGUGACUGAGUGGCGGACGGGUGAGUAACGCGUGGUAACCUGCCCUGUACAGGGGGAUAACAAUCAGAAAUGACUGCUAAUACCGCAUAAGACCACAGCACCGCAUGGUGCAGGGGUAAAAACUCCGGUGGUACAGGAUGGACCCGCGUCUGAUUAGCUGGUUGGUGAGGUAACGGCUCACCAAGGCGACGAUCAGUAGCCGGCUUGAGAGAGUGAACGGCCACAUUGGGACUGAGACACGGCCCAAACUCCUACGGGGGGCAGCAGUGGGGAAUAUUGGCACAAUGGGGGAAACCCUGAUGCAGCAACGCCGCGUGAGUGAAGAAGUGUUUCGGUAUGUAAAGCUCUAUCAGCAGGGAAGAAAGUGACGGUACCUGACUAAGAAGCCCCGGCUAACUACGUGCCAGCCGCCGCCGU